rfam:Schistosoma mansoni, Puerto Rico, WGS project CABG01000000 data, contig: 0137
AUCCAUCUGACGAGUCUCAAAUAGGAAGAAGUGCGCGUCCUGGAU